AUUGAACGCUGGCGGCAUGCCUAAUACAUGCAAGUCGAACGCUUCCUACCGGUGCUUGCACCGGGAAAGAAGAGUGGCGGACGGGUGAGUAACACGUAGGUAACCUACCUACAAGCGGGGGAUAACAUUCGGAAACGGAUGCUAAUACCGCAUAGAUCUUUUUGUCUCCUGGCAGAAAGAAGAAAGAAGGUUUCGGCUGUCACUUGUAGCUGGACCCGCGGCGCAUUAGUUAGUUGGUGAGGUAAUGGCUCACCAAGACGAUGAUGCGUAGCCGACCUGAGAGGGUGAUCGGCCACACUGGGACUGAGACACGGCCCAGACUCCUACGGGAGGCAGCAGUAGGGAAUCUUCCGCAAUGGACGAAAGUCUGACGGAGCAACGCCGCGUGAGUGAAGAAGGUUUUCGGAUCGUAAAACUCUGUUGUUAGAGAAGAACAAGGAUGAGAGUAACUGCUCGUCCCUUGACGGUAUCUAACCAGAAAGCCAUGGCUAACUACGUGCCAGCCGCCGCCGUAA
rnacentral:rRNA from 1 species